AAACAAAACAUUUAGAAAUUUCUGUUUAAUUGUGAUGCACUAUACAAUAAAGUGAGCUGCAAACCUUAGCGCACUGAUAUCCACUAAUGUAACACGCCAGACUGAAACACCACUAACACCAACCAACUUCUAGCGCCCCCACACGCAAGCGUGUGAGUGGUUUCAGCUUGUAGCAUGUUUAUAGUGUAUGGCUGGUGUGGUUAGUUUCAGUUGAUUGCGUGUGUUCUAGGGUUGUCAUUUUUGUAGGUCUUCUGUGAUUUUGGCCGGGCUGCUGGCGGUUGUGGAGUGCGACGUCUUCGCGACUCGAUUUCAUACGGCACGGUUCAGCGCCACUCAUUGCGUUGCUAACGCCGGCUCGACUCUUCGUUCUGUGAGCGCCGCUAUGUCGGAAGGACGAAGGGAUGAGACUUUGAACGGUGAACCUGAACCAGUCAACAACGUACCCACGCUGACGGACCAGUUGAACAAGCGGUUGCUGCAAUCGUUUCUCCAACGAUUGAAUGAGACGUGCGAAGCGCCAACAGUGCCCCAGGUGGAGUCUGCUGCGCCUGAUGAUUUUAAUGACUCCUAAUGCCCACAUCAUGUAGGAAGCCCUGUCUCAAGGAGCAUUUCGGCACCGGAAGUACCCCUCCAGAGACUUGGCAUACUGCACUUCGCGUGAACAUUAUGCAGAUAAAGUGACCUUAUAUAACGCAACGCCCCUUAGCAUGGGGCGUGGCCGCGCUGCACUGUGCACGCGUCAAAUAAGACCGAUGCAGCCAUUUUUUCUUUUGUAGCAAGCUUUAAUAAAAACAGACUUGAGAAAGCAUA
rnacentral:lncRNA from 1 species